GUGGGGGAUAUUGCGCAAUGGGGGCAACCCUGACGCAGCAACGCCGCGUGAAGGAUGACGGCCUUCGGGUUGUAAACUUCUGUCGCAAGGGAAGAAGAAAGUGACGGUACCUUGUGAGAAAGCCACGGCUAACUACGUGCCAGCAGCCGCGGUAAUACGUAGGUGGCGAGCGUUGUCCGGAUUUACUGGGUGUAAAGGGCGCGUAGGCGGAUUUGCAAGUCAGAUGUGAAAUGCCGGGGCUUAACCCCGGAACUGCAUUUGAAACUGUAGACCUUGAGUGCCGGAGAGGAAAGCGGAAUUCCUAGUGUAGCGGUGAAAUGCGUAGAUAUUAGGAGGAACACCGGUGGCGAAGGCGGCUUUCUGGACGGUAACUGACGCUGAGGCGCGAAAGUGUGGGUAGCAAACAGGA
rnacentral:rRNA from 1 species